GCUUAAUUAAUCAACAACAACAACAACAACAACAACAACUUUAAGAGCCUUUUUUUUUAGGUGACGGCCCCAGUUUCAGGUCGAAGGCUCGAACGGUAGCCGACGAUGAAUUUUAAUCCCACUUUACACAUUACGGCCACUUAAACUUUUGAGCAAAAAGCCAACAACAAAAAAAAAGAGCGAGAAAUAAAGAGCAAGAGUUAUGAAGAGGGGCAGAUGGGGUUGGCUAAAAGAAAAAACCAAGCGAGGAGCACGGGCACACCCAAUGUACAAAAAGGCGAUCCGGCAAUUUGAAAGCGAAAACUUUUUGGGGCCACCAAACAGGCAAGAGGCGGACAAGGCACCCGAACUGGAACUGGCACAGGGAUUGGACCUGGAUAGAAGCUGCACAACCUGGGCCAGGUGACACACAUGCAAGCAUCCGGAUUGCUGCAGAUCGUAUAGAUAUUGUUUAUGUGCAUAUAUCCAUAGGGUUGUGUGCGAGUGUGUGUGUGUGUGAGUUCGUAACAUAUGCUCGAAGCUUGAAUGGCCCCAAAAACUGUGCGAUCGUUGCUUACAUUUAUUGAUUUCAUCGCAACAACAAAGAAGUAGAUCCAAGACUCGACCAGAGCCAGACCAGCGGAAGAGCACAGAGAGGGGAAGGGCGGAAGAUGAGCCGCAAUCUCAACUGGUUGCCUCUGCCUUGGUUGGGGGGAGCAGUGCAUCGCAUUAAGCGUAGAACAGUGGCAGCCGCACAGCCCCAGAGCGAUUUACCCCACACCCAUCAACAUUUCAACUUAAUUCCUUUUCGAGUCGCCUUCUGUCGAGCAGCAAUACCCUAAACAUGGCAUAUGCGAACUGAUGAGAAGUUGGAGAUCUUUUAGAUGUGGGCACAGAUAAUUGAGAUGGAAUUCUAACUGACGAAUAUUGGAAGAAUUUCUUUUGUUAUAGGGGAUUUCAAACCACGCUCAGACUGCUUGAACAUCGGUGAGAUGACACACGCGCAAAUCUUAUGCCCGGCAGGUCAUAUGUGAGUCUGUUUAAGCCGAACCUUCUACGUUGUUUUGCUUGCUGAUUGGCAAGGUGCUGGCCGGGAUGCCGCGUAUGCAAUGAAUUUGUUCCACUAUACGUGCAAUCAUGUCGCUGUCGUUGACUGCAGCUUCGAGUCGGGCCUCAACCUGGAGUUGGCUCCCGGUUGCUGCUCCCUGCUCCGUUCCUCCUUGUUUGUGUGUUUGUGUGCUUGUGUAAAUCAGUAGCUCCGUAUUGAAUCGCUUGCGGUACACGAACUUUGGCUACGGUCCAGCUGCGACUGCGACAGGCUCUUCCACACAGCCGAGGCCAGUGUAAGCGGCUUUAGUGAAUCUCAUUUUACAGGCAUUUAGGUCUGAAACCUAACCAUUUUACAAAGAUCAUCUUGAGGCACUUAUUAGACACAGACAUUGAUGUUUCGUAGCCCCGAGAACUGUCCAGAUACAGGGCAUGUCUGCAUCUUUAUUCCAACUGGCAAGACUCUCUUUUGGCAAUGAAAUCAGAAUUAAAAUAUUUCUGCCUGUGAUCAACCAACGAACUUGGCAUUCCCACGCCAACGCCGAAGGCAAAUCCAAUGUGAGCAGAACAGGAAACAAGACAUAUUAAAACAUCCAUCGAAUACGAUUACGGCAAUCGCAUCGGUUACGGCUAACCACCCGCAUAAAAGAUGUCGCUGUUAGCCAGAGUUAAGUUGUCUCGUUCCCAGCGCGACAAUUAUCGAUGCUUGUCUGGAACUGAAGGAGGAGGAGGAGGAGGCGACUGGAAGAGAUGACUCAUGUAUGACACUUAAGUAAUAAUGGGCCGGGGCACUUAGCCGGUAGGCCACCUUCGAUCGUGAACGAAAUGACUUUUGCAGGUAACUCCAUUUGGGCCAAAUUUAGACAUUAUCACCGACGCACACGCACAUACGCUCACACACACAGACACACGAAGAGAUCAUUGUUCUGCGGCUGUGUAAAUGCGUGUAAUUCCAUUUUAUGGCUCCUGUACGCCGUUCUGCAUCCGCAUCCAACUCGUUGCACGUCUCCGGCUGCCCCCUUUGCCACAUGCUCGCCGAGUCUGAUGGAGUGUAGAAAUAUAACUAACAAAAAAUGCCUACAUAAAAUUGUAUUUAGUCAUGCUA